AGCGAACGCUGGCGGCAGGCCUAACACAUGCAAGUCGAACGCACCUUCGGGUGAGUGGCGGACGGGUGAGUAACACGUGGGAACGUACCUUUUGGUUCAGAAUAACGCAGGGAAACUUGUGCUAAUACCGAAUGUGCCCUUCGGGGAAAGAUUUAUCGCCAUUAGAGCGGCCCGCGUUAGAUUAGCUAGUUGGUGAGGUA
rnacentral:rRNA from 1 species